CACUAUGUCUCGUGAGGCGUCCGGACUGGCCCAGAGAGGUGGGCAACUACCACUCAGGGCCGGAAAGCUCUCCAAACUCGGUCAUUUAGAGGAAGUAAAAGUCGUAACAAGGUCUCCGUUGGUGAACCAGCGGAGGGAUCAUUACCGAGUUUACAACUCCCAAACCCCUGUGAACAUACCAAUUGUUGCCUCGGCGGAUCAGCCCGCUCCCGGUAAAACGGAACGGCCCGCCAGAGGACCCCUAAACUCUGUUUCUAUAUGUAACUUCUGAGUAAAACCAUAAAUAAAUCAAAACUUUCAACAACGGAUCUCUUGGUUCUGGCAUCGAUGAAGAACGCAGCAAAAUGCGAUAAGUAAUGUGAAUUGCAGAAUUCAGUGAAUCAUCGAAUCUUUGAACGCACAUUGCGCCCGCCAGUAUUCUGGCGGGCAUGCCUGUUCGAGCGUCAUUUCAACCCUCAAGCCCCCGGGUUUGGUGUUGGGGAUCGGCGAGCCUCACGGCAAGCCGGCCCCGAAAUACAGUGGCGGUCUCGCUGCAGCUUCCAUUGCGUAGUAGUAAAACCCUCGCAACUGGUACGCGGCGCGGCCAAGCCGUUAAACCCCCAACUUCUGAAUGUUGACCUCGGAUCAGGUAGGAAUACCCGCUGAACUUAAGCAUAUCAAUAAGCGGAGGAAAAGAAACCAACAGGGAUUGCCCUAGUAACGGCGAGUGAAGCGGCAACAGCUCAAAUUUGAAAUCUGGCUCUCGGGCCCGAGUUGUAAUUUGUAGAGGAUACUUUUGAUGCGGUGCCUUCCGAGUUCCCUGGAACGGGACGCCAUAGAGGGUGAGAGCCCCGUCUGGUUGGAUGCCAAAUCUCUGUAAAGUUCCUUCGACGAGUCGAGUAGUUUGGGAAUGCUGCUCUAAAUGGGAGGUAUAUGUCUUCUAUAGCUAAAUACCGGCCAGAGACCGAUAGCGCACAAGUAGAGUGAUCGAAGAUGAUAUGCACUUUGAACAGAGAGUUAAAAAGUACGUUAAAUUGUUUGAAGGGAGAGGGCUGUGGGUGUUGCAAAACAAA
rnacentral:rRNA from 1 species